rnacentral:rRNA from 1 species
UACGUAGGGGGCAAGCGUUGUCCGGAAUUAUUGGGCGUAAAGAGCUCGUAGGCGGUCUGUUACGUCUGCUGUGAAAACCCGGGGCUUAACCCUGGGCUUGCAGUGGAUACGGGCAGACUAGAGGCAGGUAGGGGAGAAUGGAAUUCCUGGUGUAGCGGUGAAAUGCGCAGAUAUCAGGAAGAACACCCGUGGCGAAGGCGGUUCUCUGGGACGGUACUGACGCUGAGACGCGAAAGCGUGGGGAGCGAACAGG